UAUUGGGUUGGCCAAAAAGCUUGUUCGGGUUUUUCCAUAAGAUGUUAUGGAAAAACUAGAACAAACCUUUUGGCCCACCCA
rnacentral:miRNA from 1 species